rnacentral:SRP_RNA from 1 species
GUUGAGUUGGGUAGCGCCAACUUGUAACCCAAGUGGAAGCAUUUGAAUGAUUGAACAUGGCUAUGGCUUGUUGGGUUGGUCUGUUGAGGCUGGUUUCACAGAGCAAUGAAUACAUCUGGCUCCUGACAGUGGAGGGAUUACAGGCUGCAGCACUUUCAGUCCAUUAAGCCCAGUGAGCCUAGCCUUUGAACCAUCUCUCUC